AGAGCAAUUCGUGAAUGCCUUGGUAGGAAGAAGCGAUGAAGGACGUAGUACGCUGCGAUAAGCCGCGGGGAGGGGCGAACACCCUUUGAUCCGUGGAUUUCCGAAUGGGGAAACCCACUCAUUUUGAGUAUCUUAAUUUGAAUACAUAGAAUUAAGAAGCGAACCUUGGGAACUGAAACAUCUAAGUACCAAGAGGAAAGGACAUCAACCGAGACUCCGUAAGUAGUGGCGAGCGAAAGCGGACCAGGCCAGUGGAUUAAAUUAAAGAACCCGAAGGGGAUGGAAAGCCCCACCAAAGAAGGUGAGAGUCCUGUAGGGGUAGAAAAUGUUUAAUUCCUUGAGUAAGACGGGACACGUGAAAUCCUGUUUGAAGAUGGGGGGACCACCCUCCAAGCCUAAGUAUUCCUUCCUAACCGAUAGUGAACUAGUACCGUGAGGGAAAGGUGAAAAGAACCCCGAGAAGGGGAGUGAAAUAGAUCUGAAACGGAUUGCUUACAAGCCGUUGGAGCCUGAUAUCUAAUUUAGAUAGGCGGGUGACAGCGUACCUCUUGUAUAAUGGGUCAGCGAGUUUAUGUUCGUAGCAAGCUUAAGCCGUUAGGUGAAGGCGCAGCGAAAGCGAGUCUUAAUAGGGCGACAAGUUACGGGCAUAAGACCCGAAACCGAGUGAUCUAGUCAUGGGCAGGUUGAAGGUGCGGUAACACGUACUGGAGGACCGAACCCACUUCUGUUGCAAAAGAAGGGGAUGACCUGUGAUUAGGGGUGAAAGGCUAAUCAAACUCGGAAAUAGCUGGUUCUCCGCGAAAUCUAUUGAGGUAGAGCGUCAAGUGAUUACCUUUGGGGGUAGAGCACUGGAUAGGCUAGGGGGAAGCGAUUCCUACCAAACCUAACCAAACUCCAAAUACCAAAGAGUACAACUUGGCAGCCACACGGUGGGAGCUAAGUUCCACGCGUGAAAAGGGAAACAGCCCUAAUCGUCCGCUAAGGUCCCCAACUGAUGGCUCAGUGGGAAAGGAAGUGAAGAGGCCAAGACAGCGAGGAGGUUGGCUUAGAAGCAGCCAUCCUUUAAAGAAAGCGUAAUAGCUCACUCGUCUAGACAAGCCACUUUGCGCCGAAAAUGUAACGGGGCUUAAGCCAUCGACCGAAGCGACGAACUUUAAAGUCUUGCGAGAUUUUGAAGUGGUAGCGGAGCGUUCCCUAAACCUGUGAAGAGAUACCCGUGAGGGGUCUUGGAGGUAUGGGAAGUGAGAAUGCUGACAUAAGUAACGUAAAAUGCUGUGAAAGACAGCAUCGCCGAAAGUCCAAGGGUUCCUACGCAAUGUAAGUCAUCGUAGGGUUAGUCGGCCCCUAAGGCGAGGACGAAAGUCGUAGUCGAUGGGAACCGCAGUUAAUAUUCUGUGACCUGUGGGUGAGUGACGAAGAGAAAAGUUUGUUAAGAUCGAUUGGAUGAUACUUAGCAGAUGAACUCUUCCAGGAAAUAGCCCCCACGUAUAGACCGUACCCGAAACCGACACUGGUGGACGCGUCGAAAAGACGAAGGCGUUGAGAGAAUCAUGUUGAAGGAACUCGGCAAAUUGUCCCUGUAACUUCGGAAGAAAGGGAACCUUUUUUAAGGCAACUUUUAAAAGGUGGCACAAAAUUGAGGGUAGCGACUGUUUAACAAAAACACAGGACUCUGCAAAGUCGAAAGACGACGUAUAGGGUCUGACGCCUGCCCGGUGCUGGAAGGUUAAGAAGAGGUGUGCAAGCACUGAAUUGAAGCCCCAGUAAACGGCGGCCGUAACUAUAACGGUCCUAAGGUAGCGAAAUUCCUUGUCGGGUAAGUUCCGACCUGCACGAAUGGCGUAACGACUGCCCUACUGUCUCCAACAUGAACUCAGUGAAAUUGGAUUCUCCGUGAAGAUACGGAGUACCCGCGGUUAGACGGAAAGACCCCGUGCACCUUUACUAUAGCUUUGCAGUGGUCUUAAGACGAUUUUGUGUAGGAUAGGUGGGAGCCUAUGAAGAGAGAGCGCCAGCUUUCUUGGAGGCAACCUUGAAAUACCACCCUGAAUCGUUUUGAGAUCUAACAACGACCCGUGAUCCGGGUCUUGGACCCUGCAUGGUGGGUAGUUUGACUGGGGCGGUCGCCUCCGAAAGAGUAACGGAGGCGCGCAAAGGUAAGCUCAAGUUGGUCGGAAACCAACUGUUGAGUGCAAGAGCAAAAGCUUGCCUGACUGCAAGACCUACAAGUCAAGCAGAGACGAAAGUCGGUUCUAGUGAUCCGGUGGUUCCUUGUGGAAGGGCCAUCGCUCAACGGAUAAAAGGUACGCCGGGGAUAACAGGCUGAUCUCCCCCGAGAGUCCCCAUCGACGGGGAGGUUUGGCACCUCGAUGUCGGCUCAUCACAUCCUGGGGCUGUAGCCGGUCCCAA
rnacentral:rRNA from 1 species